GGAGAUUUACUAGACAGCCAAAGAAGAAGGUAGAGGGAGAACAAUGCAGGACUCAUAAUAGAUAGAGAAGAGGGGAAGUUAUGGAUGAGGUAGAGAUUGCAGUUCCAAGAAAGACAGAUGAUGAGGGAGUGGAAGGCGUUGGCAAAGUUCUGGUGCAUUGAUGUUUUGCAAAAAGGACCUUUCUGAGUAACAACUGCAUCUGUCUAUUCAUGUACACCAGAUCAUCUUGUUUAACUAUUGUUUACUAGACUAGAAUUUUCUAUAUAAGGAUGAUAUUUAACUAUUCAUAGGCACAUUUUAUCUCAGUACAAUGUAUCGUUUGUUUAAAUGCUGUGGCUUGUAUGUAUUUCAAAUCAAAUUAUGUAUUUGAAUCCGUGGAAUGAAAUUAUGUAUUUCUAUCACUAAUGAACCUUAACCUCUAAAGAUGAAGAUAGACUUGGAAACAACAACCAAUGAAACUUUGCAUUGGGUGGAGCAGUUUCAACUAUAAAUUAACUAUUGGAAAUACGAAAUGCCCAUUGAAUGGUAACCUAAGAAACCGUGAAAUGAAAUUAAUGUAUUGGAAAUAGCGUGAUGAUGUGGCACUCAUGGAGAGAUUGGAGGACUAAUUUAUGAUUUUACAUUACUUUGCGGGGGCUAGUUGUCAAUAAGGGCAGUGUCAGUUUAUAUUACCACCCUGUUCUCUUCCCCUAUCGAGUAAGCUACUUCUUCAUUCUUGGUAUGUGCAUGGAAUAUGAG
rnacentral:lncRNA from 1 species